GAAGAACCGGCCAGCCGCAAGCGUAGCAGCCCUAGUCCGAGCCCUAAAGCCAAGAAGCGGCGUGUGCAAAAAGAGGCGGCAUCCUCGCAGAAUCCCCAUAGGAGGACUCGUCGUGCAGAACGCUCUAAAGCCAAACUGGUGAGCCGUGCCCGUCGUCGAAGGUGCCCAGCGGAAGCCGUGCAGUCCGACACCAGAUGUGUUCGAGAAGUCCAACCGGUGCACCGGUGGCUUGCCCUCUCCCCAUUCUUUACGAAGCAAAGCCAUGCAGCACAGACGAGUGGGAUUGGCUCUUCGUGGACGUCUACGACCUGCCACCCGACGCCCCUGUGCCUGACCCGGACUUGUCGUUUCUUGAACAACACUGAGCUGUGUGAUUAUUCUAUUGGAGUUUUUACUCUUUUA